rnacentral:piRNA from 1 species
CUGUUAAAUGAUUGAUCCCGC